rnacentral:rRNA from 1 species
UGCCAGCAGCCGCGGUAAUACGGAAGGUGCAAGCGUUAUCCGGAAUCACUGGGUUUAAAGGGUACGUAGGCGGUCUUAUAAGUCAGACGUCAAAGGCCAUGGCUAAACCAUGGUACGCGUUUGAAACUGUACGACUUGAAUAUGAUCGAGGUGCAUGGAAUGCUUCAUGUAGCGGUGAAAUGCAUAGAUAUGAAGUAGAACACCAAUUGCGAAGGCAGUGCACUAGGUUAUUACUGACGCUGAGGUACGAAAGCGUGGGUAGCGAACAGGAUUAGAUA